rnacentral:tRNA from 1 species
GCCUUCGUGGUGUAACGGUAGCACACUCGGCGCGUAAUCGCGAGGUCCAGGUUCGAGUCCCGGCGAAGGCA